CAGAGGGAAACGAACGGUUUCAUUCGCGGUCAGCAACUGGCUCGUACGUCGAUAGCUUCGUUCCUCGUCUAGAAAACUCGGUGCUAGGUGUGGUGUUUCUAUCUUGUGUGUCACUGUACUAUGGGCCUUUGUGAUCCAUGACUGAUGGUAGUAGCAGUAAUGAUAGAGCGCUGUGAGCCAAAAUAAAAACAGAGUAUUUUCCAAACAAGAUCGAGGUGAUUUUUGGGAUCAGUAUAAAUGGAAUAUGAAAUGGAGUAUGUUUGAUCGCAAAGAAGCAUGCAAAAAUGAUUGAGAUGAGAUAUACGAGAUAUGUGAGAUAUUGGAUGCUGGAGAGAGUAGGAAAUGGAAGAAUAGAAAUGGAAGGAAAGAUAGAAGGAUUUUUCAUUUGCGGAAUUUGCGUUUAGAAAAUUUUUAUAAACGUGAAGAUAUCAAUAGAUUGGUGUAUACGAAAUAUUUGAUUUUUUUGAAUAAAGUUUUUUAACCAUU